rnacentral:sRNA from 1 species
GGAAGUCGCGCUGCCGUGGCGGCCCCUGUAGCAGCGACGGUCCAGUCGUAGCCCGGCCGCCCGCGCCUGUCCGGUCGGGUCCGGCCACGGAGGCAGCGCAGCGGCGGGACCCCGAGCCUACCCCGCCGAGUGAGCUGCGCCGCACCGUGCCGCCCCACCCGGCACCCACCAGUCCGAUGGGGCCGCAGCGGCGGCUGUCCCCUGCCGGGGCCGUCCUACUCUGGGGCUUCCUGCUCCCGCUGACAGCCGCUCAGGAAGCAAUCUUGCAUGCGUCUGGAAAUAGCACAACCAAGGACUACUGCAUGCUUUAUAACCCUUAUUGGACAGCUCUUCCAAGUACCCUAGAAAAUGCAACUUCCAUUAGUUUGAUGAAUCUGACUUCCACACCACUAUGCAACCUUUCUGAUAUUCCUCCUGUUGGCAUAAAGAACAAAGCAGUUGUGGUUCCAUGGGGAAGCUGCCAUUUUCUUGAAAAAGCCAGAAUUGCACAGAAAGGAGGUGCUGAAGCAAUGUUAGUUGUCAAUAACAGUGUCCUAUUUCCUCCCUCAGGUAACAGAUCUGAAUUUCCUGAUGUGAAAAUACUGAUUGCAUUUAUAAGCUACAAAGACUUUAGAGAUAUGAACCAGGUAAAUUAGCAAUUACAUAUUAGAUAAAGUUUAUAAAUAUUAUAUCUCUUUAUUUUUAAUCACUAAUGUUUAAUUUUGAGUGUUAUAUUUGCUCCAUUUGCUAACAAGAAGCUAUA